rnacentral:rRNA from 2 species
AUUAGAAGCUUGCUUCUAUGACGUUAGCGGCGGACGGGUGAGUAACACGUGGGCAACCUGCCUGUAAGACUGGGAUAACUUCGGGAAACCGAAGCUAAUACCGGAUAGGAUCUUCUCCUUCAUGGGAGAUGAUUGAAAGAUGGUUUCGGCUAUCACUUACAGAUGGGCCCGCGGUGCAUUAGCUAGUUGGUGAGGUAACGGCUCACCAAGGCAACGAUGCAUAGCCGACCUGAGAGGGUGAUCGGCCACACUGGGACUGAGACACGGCCCAGACUCCUACGGGAGGCAGCAGUAGGGAAUCUUCCGCAAUGGACGAAAGUCUGACGGAGCAACGCCGCGUGAGUGAUGAAGGCUUUCGGGUCGUAAAACUCUGUUGUUAGGGAAGAACAAGUAYRAGAGUAACUGCUYGUACCUUGACGGUACCUAACCAGAAAGCCACGGCUAACUACGUGCCAGCAGCCGCGGUAAUACGUAGGUGGCAAGCGUUAUCCGGAAUUAUUGGGCGUAAAGCGCGCGCAGGCGGUUUCUUAAGUCUGAUGUGAAAGCCCACGGCUCAACCGUGGAGGGUCAUUGGAAACUGGGGAACUUGAGUGCAGAAGAGAAAAGCGGAAUUCCACGUGUAGCGGUGAAAUGCGUAGAGAUGUGGAGGAACACCAGUGGCG